AGUAAAGUCAGCUAAAAAAGCUUCCGGGCCCAUACCCCGGAAAUGUUGGUUAAAAUCCUUCCUUUACUA
rnacentral:tRNA from 2 species